rnacentral:tRNA from 1 species
AAGAGUAAUUAAGAAUAAAAUAAAGCUGCUAACUUUAUUUUGAGCAUUUCAAAUGGUUCUACUCUUU